rnacentral:rRNA from 1 species
GUACACAAAAAUGCACAUAUUGUGAGCUCGAUGAGUAGGGCGGGACACGUGGUAUCCUGUCUGAAUAUGGGGGGACCAUCCUCCAAGGCUAAAUACUCCUGACUGACCGAUAGUGAACCAGUACCGUGAGGGAAAGGCGAAAAGAACCCCGGCGAGGGGAGUGAAAAAGAACCUGAAACCGUGUACGUACAAGCAGUGGGAGCCUCUUAAUGGGGUGACUGCGUACCUUUUGUAUAAUGGGUCAGCGACUUAUAUUCUGUAGCAAGGUUAACCGAAUAGGGGAGCCGAAGGGAAACCGAGUCUUAACUGGGCGUUAAGUUGCAGGGUAUAGACCCGAAACCCGGUGAUCUAGCCAUGGGCAGGUUGAAGGUUGGGUAACACUAACUGGAGGACCGAACCGACUAAUGUUGAAAAAUUAGCGGAUGACUUGUGGCUGGGGGUGAAAGGCCAAUCAAACCGGGAGAUAGCUGGUUCUCCCCGAAAGCUAUUUAGGUAGCGCCUCGUGAAUUCAUCUCCGGGGGUAGAGCACUGUUUCGGCAAGGGGGUCAUCCCGACUUACCAACCCGAUGCAAACUGCGAAUACCGGAGAAUGUUAUCACGGGAGACACACGGCGGGUGCUAACGUCCGUCGUGAAGAGGGAAACAACCCAGACCGCCAGCUAAGGUCCCAAAGUCAUGGUUAAGUGGGAAACGAUGUGGGAAGGCCCAGACAGCCAGGAUGUUGGCUUAGAAGCAGCCAUCAUUUAAAGAAAGCGUAAUAGCUCACUGGUCGAGUCGGCCUGCGCGGAAGAUGUAACGGGGCUAAACCAUGCACCGAAGCUGCGGCAGCGACACUAUGUGUUGUUGGGUAGGGGAGCGUUCUGUAAGCCUGUGAAGGUGGCCUGUGAGGGUUGCUGGAGGUAUCAGAAGUGCGAAUGCUGACAUAAGUAACGAUAAAGCGGGUGAAAAGCCCGCUCGCCGGAAGACCAAGGGUUCCUGUCCAACGUUAAUCGGGGCAGGGUGAGUCGACCCCUAAGGCGAGGCCGAAAGGCGUAGUCGAUGGGAAACAGGUUAAUAUUCCUGUACUUGGUGUUACUGCGAAGGGGGGACGGAGAAGGCUAUGUUGGCCGGGCGACGGUUGUCCCGGUUUAAGCGUGUAGGCUGGUUUUCCAGGCAAAUCCGGAAAACCAAGGCUGAGGCGUGAUGACGAGGCACUACGGUGCUGAAGUAACAAAUGCCCUGCUUCCAGGAAAAGCCUCUAAGCAUCAGGUAACAUCAAAUCGUACCCCAAACCGACACAGGUGGUCAGGUAGAGAAUACCAAGGCGCUUGAGAGAACUCGGGUGAAGGAACUAGGCAAAAUGGUGCCGUAACUUCGGGAGAAGGCACGCUGAUAUGUAGGUGAAGCGACUUGCUCGUGGAGCUGAAAUCAGUCGAAGAUACCAGCUGGCUGCAACUGUUUAUUAAAAACACAGCACUGUGCAAACACGAAAGUGGACGUAUACGGUGUGACGCCUGCCCGGUGCCGGAAGGUUAAUUGAUGGGGUUAGCGGUAACGCGAAGCUCUUGAUCGAAGCCCCGGUAAACGGCGGCCGUAACUAUAACGGUCCUAAGGUAGCGAAAUUCCUUGUCGGGUAAGUUCCGACCUGCACGAAUGGCGUAAUGAUGGCCAGGCUGUCUCCACCCGAGACUCAGUGAAAUUGAACUCGCUGUGAAGAUGCAGUGUACCCGCGGCAAGACGGAAAGACCCCGUGAACCUUUACUAUAGCUUGACACUGAACAUUGAGCCUUGAUGUGUAGGAUAGGUGGGAGGCUUUGAAGUGUGGACGCCAGUCUGCAUGGAGCCGACCUUGAAAUACCACCCUUUAAUGUUUGAUGUUCUAACGUUGGCCCCUAAUCGGGGUUGCGGACAGUGUCUGGUGGGUAGUUUGACUGGGGCGGUCUCCUCCUAAAGAGUAACGGAGGAGCACGAAGGUUGGCUAAUCCUGGUCGGACAUCAGGAGGUUAGUGCAAUGGCAUAAGCCAGCUUGACUGCGAGCGUGACGGCGCGAGCAGGUGCGAAAGCAGGUCAUAGUGAUCCGGUGGUUCUGAAUGGAAGGGCCAUCGCUCAACGGAUAAAAGGUACUCCGGGGAUAACAGGCUGAUACCGCCCAAGAGUUCAUAUCGACGGCGGUGUUUGGCACCUCGAUGUCGGCUCAUCACAUCCUGGGGCUGAAGUAGGUCCCAAGGGUAUGGCUGUUCGCCAUUUAAAGUGGUACGCGAGCUGGGUUUAGAACGUCGUGAGACAGUUCGGUCCCUAUCUGCCGUGGGCGCUGGAGAACUGAGGGGGGCUGCUCCUAGUACGAGAGGACCGGAGUGGACGCAUCACUGGUGUUCGGGUUGUCAUGCCAAUGGCACUGCCCGGUAGCUAAAUGCGGAAGAGAUAAGUGCUGAAAGCAUCUAAGCACGAAACUUGCCCCGAGAUGAGUUCUCCCUGACUCCUUGAGGGUCCUGAAGGAACGUUGAAGACGACGACGUUGAUAGGCCGGGUGUGUAAGCGCAGCGAUGCGUUGAGCUAACCGGUACUAAUGAACCGUGAGGCUUAACCUUACAACGCCGAAG